GGCCCUGUUUUUUCUGUAAUGGCCUUGUUUUUCUGUAAUGGCCCUGUUUUUUCUGUAAUGGCCCUGUUUUUCUGUAAUGGCCCUGUAUUAAUGCCCAGUUUGUCUGUAUUAAACCCUGUUAGGAUUUUUAAUAAAGUUAAUAAAACUACGUUGUAAAGAGUAUACUAGUAAUACCUUUUUGUAUUUUAUUUAAUUUAGUAACCAGCAACCAACAUUAAAGAACCAUAUAAAGGGAUCACUGUUCAUCCUGUUUUUUAACACAUAUCUCUUUCAACUUAAUAUCUUGGAUAUUUGGUAUAUUUAAAGCUUUAUAAUGG
rnacentral:lncRNA from 1 species